rnacentral:rRNA from 1 species
CGGCAACAGCUCAAAUUUGAAAUCUGGCCUUUUGGGUCCGAGUUGUACUUUGCAGAGGGUGCUUUGGCGUCGGUAGCGGUCUAAGUUCCUUGGAACAGGACGUCGCAGAGGGUGAGAAUCCCGUAUGUGAUCGCCUACCUUUGCCGUGUAAAGCCCCUUCGAC